GGGACCUCUGGAGAUCACCCGGUCCAAGCCCCGGCCAGAGCAGGGUCACCCAGAGCAGGUGGCACAGGAACGCGUCCGGGCGGGUUGGGAAUGUCUCCGGAGACGGAGACUCCCCCACCUCUCUGGGCAGCCUGUGCCAGGGCUCUGCCACCCCCACAGCAAAGAGGUUCCUCCUCGCCUUGAGGUGGAGCUUCCCACGGUCAAGUUGGUGCCCGUCACCCCUCGUCCUGUCCCCGGGCACCACUGGGAAGAGCCCGGCCCCGUCCUCCUGACACCCCCCCUCUCAGCGUUCGUCAGCGUUGAGAAGAUCCCCCCUCGGACGUCUUCUGUCCACACUGGAGACCCCAUCCCUCAGCCUUUCGCCCUCUCCACGUCCUCGUCCCGCCAUGGGCGUCCACUUGGCUUCCACCUUCCUCCUCCUCCUGGCCGCCCUCCCAGGGCUGAUGGCGGCCGUGCAGCUGGUGGAGUCCGGAGGGGCCCUCCAGACACCCGGGGGGUCCCUCACCCUCCGCUGCAAGGGCUCCGGCUUCGACUUCAGCAGCAAAGGCAUGGGAUGGAUGCGACAGGCCCCCGGGAAGGGGCUCGAGUACGUCGCGCAGAUUAACACUGGUGGUAGCACCUACUACGCGCCGUCGGUCGAGGGGCGCUUCACCAUCUCCAGGGACAACUCCCAGAGCACGCUCACGCUGCAGAUGAACAGCCUCCGGGACGACGACACGGCCACCUACUACUGCGCGAAAACUACUGGUGGUGAUUAUGGUGCUGGUAAUGCUGAUGGUGAUCCUUAUGGUGGUGGCACCAACCCCAGCCCCAUGGAACAACAUCCCUGUGCCGUGUCCCCAGAUCGACCCUUCUUGGCCCAAAUCUGAAGCAUUUGCCACAAACCUCGACCACUUUUGCCCCAAAUCUCAACCGGUUGCAGCAAACCCUGACCGAU